AUGGGCACAGAACCACCUUGGUGCUCAACAGGAGGUGACUGCAACAAGUCUGUAAUACAACAGAAGCUACUUGCCGUUUCAGUGAAAUUCGAAUGGACUAUGCUUUCUUCUGCAUGGAAGGAGCUUUCAAGGACAUCAUGCAAAGUUCUGACCAGGGAAAAUGAUCAAAGAUGUGCCAAGCAAGCAACGAGAUCUAGGCGCGUGUAUGGGUGGCGCGGCGUGAAGAAGACGAACGGACCUUGGAGGUUGCUGUCGAGCCAUUUGGACUGCCUGGUGCGGAUGUGGCUCGCCCACCACCACGAGUAG
rnacentral:rRNA from 1 species